rnacentral:lncRNA from 1 species
GGUUAAGAUUUGGUUAGGAUUUGAUUAGCAUUAGUUUAGGAUUUGAUUAGGAUUUAUUUAGGAUUGACUAAGAUUUGGUUAAGGUUUGAUUAGGGUUUGAUUUGGAUUUGAUUAGGAUUUGAUUAGGAUUUGAUUAGGUUUUGUUUAAGAUUUGAUUAAGGUUUGGUUAGAGUUUGGUUAGAAUUUGGUUAGGAUUUGACUAGGACUUGGUUAGGAUUAGUUUAGAAUUUGACUAAGAUUUAUUUAGAGUUAAUUAGGAUUUGAUUAGAAUUUGGUUAAGACUUUAUUAGGAUUUAGUUAGGAUUUGGUUAAGGUUUGAUUAAGAUUUGAUUAGGAUUUGGUUAGAUUUUAUUUAGAAUUUGAUUAGGAUUUAUUUAGGAUUGACUAGGAUUUAGUUAAGAUUUGUUUAGGAUUUGAUUUGGAUUUGAUUAGGAUUUGAUUAAGAUUUUAUUAGGAUUUGAUUAAGAUUUGAUUAGAUUUUGUUUAAGAUUUGAUUAGAACUGAAUUAAGAUUUGAUUAGUGUUUCACUAAGGUUUGGUUAGAAUUUGAUUAGAAUUUGAUUAGGAUUUGAAUAGGGUUUGGAUAGGAUUUAUUUAGAAUUGACUAGGAUUUGAUUAGGAUAUGAAUAGGGUUUGAAUAGGAUUUAUUUAAGAUUGACUAGGAUUUGAUUAAGACUUGAUUAAGAUUUGAUUAGAAUUUGAUUAGGAUUUGAUUAGGAUCUAGUUAGUAUUUGAUUAGGUUUUUUUAGAGUUUGAUCAAUAUUUGAUUAAGAUUUGUUUGAAAUUAACUUAGUAUUUGGCUAUGAUUUAUUAGGAUUUGAUUAGAAUUUGAUUAGGAUUUAGUUAAGAUUUGAUAAUGGUUUAUUUAGAGCUGACUAAGAUUUGGUUAAGAUUUGAUUAGAAUUUGAUUAAGAUCUAAUUAGGAUUUGGUUAGGAUUUGAAUAAGAUUUGAUUAGGAUUUGAUUAGGAUUUGAUUAGGAUUUGAUUAGAUUUUUUUUAGGAUUCGAUUAGGAUUUAGUUAGGAUUUAUUUAAGGAAUCAUUAGGAUUUGGUUAGGAUUUAUUAAGAUUUGAUUAAAAUUUGAUUAGAAUUUAAUUAAGGUUUCUAUUUUAAUAUUUUAUUAAGAUUUUUAUUUUAGUAUAUUUUUGAAUUUCUAUGUUCUUUUUUAUGAUUUCUUUAAAGAAUAUUUAAAAAUACUUUGUAUUUCUUACAUAAUUCCUUUGCAAUUUUGAUUGAAUUUGAUUGAUAUUUGAUUUUACUUGCAAAUCUUUAAUUAUAAUUUGUUUAAGAAUCUAUUAGAGUUGUUAGGACUUGUUGUUACAAUUUUCCUUUUAUCUUCCACAGCCAGGUGUCUGGUGCAUUUUCAAGCCAAACGCCACAUAAUACAACAUAUUUUGGUGAACUUGAUGUGAAAAGCUUGAGGUGGAAGGUAUUUCAAUUUUUUUUUUGAUUUAUUUGAAUUAU